AGUGGCUUACCAAGGCUUUGACGGGUAGCCGGCCUGAGAGGGUGACCGGCCACAUUGGGACUGAGAUACGGCCCAGACUCCUACGGGAGGCAGCAGUGGGGAAUAUUGCACAAUGGGCGGAAGCCUGAUGCAGCAACGCCGCGUGCGGGAUGACGGCCUUCGGGUUGUAAACCGCUUUCGCCUGUGACGAAGCGUGAGUGACGGUAAUGGGUAAAGAAGCACCGGCUAACUACGUGCCAGCAGCCGCGGUGAUACGUAGGGUGCGAGCGUUGUCCGGAUUUAUUGGGCGUAAAGGGCUCGUAGGUGGUUGAUCGCGUCGGAAGUGUAAUCUUGGGGCUUAACCCUGAGCGUGCUUUCGAUACGGGUUGACUUGAGGAAGGUAGGGGAGAAUGGAAUUCCUGGUGGAGCGGUGGAAUGCGCAGAUAUCAGGAGGAACACCAGUGGCGAAGGCGGUUCUCUGGGCCUUUCCUGACGCUGAGGAGCGAAAGCGUGGGGAGCGAACAGGCUUAGAUACCCUGGUAGUCCACGCUGUAAACGGUGGGUACUAGGUGUGGGGUCCAUUCCACGGGUUCCGUGCCGUAGCUAACGCUUUAAGUACCCCGCCUGGGGAGUACGGCCGCAAGGCUAAAACUCAAAGGAAUUGACGGGGCCCCGCACAAGCGGCGGAGCAUGCGGAUUAAUUCGAUGCAACGCGUAGAACCUUACCUGGGUUUGACAUGGAUCGGAAGCGCUCAGAGAUGGGUGUGCCUCUUUUGGGGUCGGUUCACAGGUGGUGCAUGGCUGUCGUCAGCUCGUGUCGUGAGAUGUUGGGUUAAGUCCCGCAACGAGCGCAACCCUUGUUCACUGUUGCCAGCACGUUAUGGUGGGGACUCAGUGGAGACCGCCGGGGUCAACUCGGAGGAAGGUGGGGAUGACGUCAAGUCAUCAUGCCCCUUAUGUCCAGGGCUUCACGCAUGCUACAAUGGCUGGUACAGAGAGUGGCGAGCCUGUGAGGGUGAGCGAAUCUCGGAAAGC
rnacentral:rRNA from 1 species